rnacentral:lncRNA from 1 species
AUUCACGUCACUUUCAGAGGGGGGGCCACACGGUUUUGGACACUUCUUUUUCUCCAAGCAAUUACUCCAUUUUCAUGGACAAAAACACAGAAAUAGAGUGAGAGGGACGGGAAUAAUAGUGAGAGGGCUCACCCAUCUUCUUCUCCAAAAAAUCCGCCGCCACCCUCCACCAGCGAGUUUAGCCGGGAAAUCCGGCAACCACACCCCUCCAUUUCCUCUGUUGUCCACCACCACCUAGCAACAACGACCCAUCUCCCUUACUCUAAAAACAACCAGCAGCCACACACCACCAAACCAACCGGACCUCUUCUGUAGAAAACAUCCAUGCUCACUUUCUCUCUCUAUCUAGUCUCCAAUUUGUCAAUCAUCACUCUUCUCCUUUUCUAAUUUCUUCAGAAAUAUCAGCUAAAUUGGAAAAAAUCGGCUGCUAGAAUGCUUCUUCGGUUAAGCUCGCCAUAAAUGUGAAACCUCUGUUCUAUCUCGUGCUUCCUACUCCUCUGCUGCUUAGUUGCAUUUGUUUCUGCUCAAAUAUCUAACAAUGCUACCUCUAAAUGGCUUACACUGAGCGAUCUCGCUUGAGGUUGAGUCCAGUUGGGGAUUUUCAUUUUUGUCGCGAUUUCCAAUCCGAUCAACGGUUCAAGCUUCGUUUCAUCUGUUCAUGUUGGGAUUUGUUCAAAUUUUGAUCGGAAAUCUGUGUAUAUGUUUCAAAGUAUCAAGGGAGUUUUCACUACUUGAAGGUUUAUCCCUCCCUCUGUUCUUACUUAAUCCAAAUUGCUAUCAUGUGCUAUCCUACGUUUGUUUGCACGCCAUGUUUAAAUUGUUGCUUUGUGACUGGUUUUUGAUUUCUCCCUUUUAGAUCCAUUUGAUUUGAAUCUUUGAUUGAGCUUUUAAUAAAAGACAAGUUGUGAAUUUUUUCUUGUGAAUACAUAUGGACAUGUAAGUUGAAUAGGGAUAGUGGAUGUCCGUAGAGAGGCAAUUGUGAUUAAAUAGGAUUAGGACGUGGCGGUUUGAUCAGAAAUUGAGAGAAUUGGGUUUAAGAGAAUUAGACAAUAAGAUGUCAUGCUUUAUUGUUAUUUCGCUAUUACUAGAUACUCGCUGAACGCUAGGAGUAUGCUAGGCCGACCACACUUGGGUAGGCAAGCCUUAGGAUUUUUGUUAGUCUUGAUGUGAGAGGUCGUUCCCUUAGUUAACUUUAUCCGGGGAAUACCCCGAGGGAUUUGUAGAUAUUUUGUUCUGGGGAAUGCCCCGAAGAACUUUGUAAAUAUUUGGAGGCCUUGAUGAGCAUUGUGAAUAAGUCAUAAUAUAUACUAGUUUAGGAUUUUUCCUUUCUUUUCUUUUCAUUUUCUCUUAUUAGGUGAGGACAGCCUCGAGCCUUUUGUGUGUGUUUAUUUUUCCAUUUCUGUGUUUAUUAUGUUAAUUCGAAUAUUUUAAAAGCCCACUAGAUCGAGUACGCAACCGUACUAGUUACGGGACUUGGGGAAUGCCUAAAACCUUCCCCCCCGAGUCAAAUGAACCCCCUUACCUGAGUCUCUAAUGUAGACUUAGUUUUGGAGUCCAAAGUGUUUUAAAAGGAAAUCAUUUUAAAAACGGUGACCUGGCACAUCGAAACCAAUGUCAGGAUAUGAUUUGACUCAUAUUCUGAUUGAAGGCAUGUUGUGCUUACUGAGUUUAUCAUGAUGUGGAUUUAUUUGUUUCUUACUGCUCAAUCUCUAUUCACGUUUAUUACUUACUGAGUUGGCGUACUCACAUUACUCCCUGUACCUUGUGUACAGAUCCAGGUAUUUCUAAACCUAGUAGCGGGUGUUGAUUAUUCAGUGGCAGGUCCAUCGGAGUUAGCAAGGUAGCUUCCUGGAAAUCGCAACCCUGCUUCUCUCCCUCCUUAUCCUCCCUUAGGUGUAAUUAGUUAUUUCUAGGCUAUGUUAGUCUUGUUAUUGUUAGACGGUUGUAGUAGAUGCUCAUGACUAGUGACACCCUGAUGUCGGGCUUUCUUUCCACACUGUUGUUUUGAUUUAAACAUGUUAUGAAGGUUUAUUGUUAAAUAGCUUUGAUUUUAUCUUUAAAAUGAAAAUAUUGAUUGGUUUUUGGAAAUGUGCAGCUUGCCUAGUACCACGUUGCCAUCACGACCGGGUUGGUUUUUGGGUCGUGACAUUAAAGUAGGUGUGUAAUGUUGAAUAUGACUUGUGUACAAAAUUUAGGGUCAAUCGGACAUGAUUUGAUAGGUUUCGGCAUCGGUUGUAGAAAUUUGAAGUUUCAAGUAUUUUAAGUUUUAAUUGGAGGGUGAUUCGUG